GCCAGCUUCCUCCUGGGAUAGCUUGGUAGAUCGUGAGACUCUUAAUCUCACGGUCGCGGGUUCAAGCCCCACGUUGGGCA